rnacentral:rRNA from 1 species
GACGAACGCUGGCGGCGUGCCUAAUACAUGCAAGUCGAGCGGAAGUUGGAGAGCUUGCUCUUCAACUUUAGCGGCGGACGGGUGAGUAACACGUGGGCAACCUGCCCUGCAGAUCGGGAUAACUCCGGGAAACCGGUGCUAAUACCGAAUAGUUUUCGCCACCUCCUGGUGGCGUACGGAAAGACGGUUUCGGCUGUCACUGCAGGAUGGGCCCGCGGCGCAUUAGCUAGUUGGUGGGGUGACGGCCCACCAAGGCGACGAUGCGUAGCCGACCUGAGAGGGUGAUCGGCCACACUGGGACUGAGACACGGCCCAGACUCCUACGGGAGGCAGCAGUAGGGAAUCUUCCGCAAUGGACGAAAGUCUGACGGAGCAACGCCGCGUGAGUGACGAAGGUUUUCGGAUCGUAAAACUCUGUUGUGAGGGAAGAACAAGUACCACUUAACUACUGGUACCUUGACGGUACCUCACCAGAAAGCCACGGCUAACUACGUGCCAGCCGCCGCAGUAAAAC